AAUUAUUAUUAGAUUUUUUAAAUAAUUAUUCACGAAAUAAAUUGAGCUAAAUUUUUGGUAUUUUUGGAAAUUAUAACUAUAUGUUACAAAAUAUAUUAACUAAAUAGAUUUAGGGGUGAAAGGCCUAUCAAAUUUUAUGAUAUCUUGAAGUAUAUAAAAUAUAUUAAGUAUUUCUAAUUCAACUAUUGAAUGUUUAGGUUCAAUAGUAACAUUAUAUUUUUUAAAAAAUUGUUCAAUUUUUUUAAGUAAAAUUGAGUUAGAGCAUAAAAUAUACAUCAAAUUUUUAUUAUAUGAAUAUAAAUAUACUACGGUUAUUAAUAAAUAUAAUCAUAUAUAAUGUAAUUAUUAGUAAUAGUUUAUUAAACUAUAUAAAGGAAUUCGGCAAGAAAAUUUUUCACCUGUUUAUCAAAAACAUAGCUUAUUGAAUAUCAUAAUAAGUAACCCCUGCUCAAUGGAAAUCUAAAUAGCCGCAGUACCUUGACUGUGCAAAGGUAGCAUAAUCAAUUGGCUUAUAAUUGAAGUCUGGAAUGAAUGGGUAAUCUGGAAAAUAACUGUCUUUAUUUGUAGUAUUUUGAAUUUACUUAUAAAGUGAAAAUACUUUAACAUAAAUAUAAGACGAGAAGACCCUAGAAAUUUUUUGUUAAUAACUUUUGUUGGGGCGACAGGGUAACAUAUAAACUUACUUACAUUUAUAUAAAUCUUAUAAGGUACGUAACUAAAUUACUCUAGGGAUAACAGCAUAAUAUAUAAAAGUUUAUGACCUCGAUGUUGGAGUAGGUAAUUAAAUAUUUAAAAGAUAUCUUAAUUUGCUCUGUUCGAGCAGUACCACCUACAU
rnacentral:rRNA from 1 species